ACCUACUUCAGGACCAUUCAGGACAACAUCACCCACAUGAUUAUUACUGCCCGUCUUCGGUACAACAGCAUCUUGUUCCGUUUUGUACUAUUUUGUCUGUUUGUCUCUGUUCUGUCCCUCGAGAAGUCGAAGAUAUUUACGCAAGUGUCGGCUGGACGCUCCUGCAGGGACAGUCGAGACUUGAUAUUUGAGAAGCCACGCGCUCACCGACGAGCUGUCAUGAGAGCCGGGUGGCAUAGAAGCAGCGCAGUUAGUAGCCUCGGGUACGGCGGCGGGCUGUCGCCUGGAAGCGCCCCUGGGCCGCAGUCCGGGCAACGGGGCACAACAGAGCACGUGUCGGUGCGCCGUGCGGGGCCCGGUGGCCGGUCAGGUGGCCCGCUCGAUACCGGCCGUGCUGCCCAGCCGGUUCCUGCUGCAGACACGACCGGCCGUGCUGUCCAGCGGCUCCUCCUGCAGACACCACCGGCCGCUGGGCAUCUCAUCUCAGGUCUCCCUGGCAACAAACCAGUGACGCCACCGAUGAUGACGUCACUGGGCCAGGCUCUGUCACUGUGUCUCCGCGUGACUUUCGCUAUCGUGCUGGUCGCUAUUCUGGCCAACAUGGCGUACGGCCUCUACGUCGGGUUCACAGACUUUUACCGAAGCGACGAGCUCAAAGUCAUCGUGUGAAGGCAUCAUUCAACUAUAGCUGCUCUACUGCGCUCGGACCUUACCGGUCUAAGGAACGACCUUACACGACCUUGGAACGACCCAUCCGACGCCAAUGGACACGGCGCUAUGUCGGCUCAGUCUCGGAGCUGUGGGCCUGUGGUAGAGCACCGCAGAAAAUCUGACUGGCUAGGACACCUGGCGUCAUCUGACCUGAUCGAUAGCUUCCGAUGGUCCCGGCUGCCGAGGUGUUGUGUGGUGUUGCCACUGACGUCACCACAGGAGCUCGUGCCUUAGUAAACUGCACUGCCGACCGUCCACACCUGAAUGACUGCGGCACUGCGCUGAUAUUAACGGCAGCAGGUGCAACUGAGACCGGAAUCAGAAGCGGCCGGCGCACUCGCAUGUAAAUACGCGGGCGUAGGAGCGGCUGAAACGCCAUGGGGGCGCGGAAGCACAAUUUUACACAUUGUAGUCUGGGAGGAGAAGAAGAUUGUACUGUGCCCUGUCUCCCCCCCCCGCCACCCCCGUGAACAGACUGCAACGGACUGCGCAACGAUUACUAGCGAACAAUGGCUUAUUAACUGUGUUGUAGGUACAUAUGUGCAUGGGUGGGUUAAUGUAGGUACCUAUGUCACGUAAGUCGUAGGUUGCAGCAUUCACUUAGACUAAGCAGCCCCUGGCAUGCGUUGCUACUUCAGUGGUCGCUAUACAUAGUUUUGACUGACUAAUAAUAAUUUGGUGAGGUUAACAUCGAUGUUAUGACGCCACGACAAGCAUGUGGUCAGGUCAGGCUGACACUAAACCUUUUAAAUGGGUGUAAUUUUAGGUAUAUCUCUUUGUGAGGGCAGAUGUAUGUACCCACAAUCCUGAAUUAUGUCCCGGCACAAUGAUGAAAAUGCACCCACAAGUCUUUAACAAGCGUCCUUUCGGGAGCACGGUGCCUUUCGCAUGCUCCAACGGCGUCGCCCUGACCGUCUCGCGUUCCUGGAUAAUAUAGCGUUUUUAAUCA